rnacentral:rRNA from 1 species
GACGAACGCUGGCGGCGUGCUUAACACAUGCAAGUCGAACGAUGAACUUGGAGCUUGCUCUGGGGGAUUAGUGGCGAACGGGUGAGUAACACGUGAGUAACCUGCCCUGGACUCUGGGAUAACUUUGAGAAAUCGGAGCUAAUACCGGAUAUGACCACAUCUCGAGUGGGCUGGUGGUGGAAAGUUUUUCGGCCAGGGAGGUGGUCGCGGGCUAUCAGCUUGAUGGUGAGGUAAUGGCUCACCAUGGCUUCGACGGGUAGCCGGCCUGUGAGGGUGACCGGUCACACUGGGACUGAGACACGGCCCAGACUCCUACGGGAGGCAGCAGUGGGUAAUCUUGCGCAAUGGGCGAAAGCCUGACGCAGCCAUGCCGCGUGAAUGAUGAAGGUCUUAGGAUUGUAAAAUUCUUUCACCCGGGACGAUAAUGACGGUACCCGGAGAAGAAGCUCCGGCUAACUUCGUGCCAGCCGCCGCCGUAAUAC